rnacentral:misc_RNA from 1 species
UUUCCGUAGGUGAACCUGCGGAAGGAUCAUUAUUGAAUACGUUUGGUUCUGAUGCUGUCUCUUCACUGAGCAUGUGCUCGAUCCAUAACUAUUUAUCUUCUCUUGUGCACCUUUUGUAGUCUUUCAGAGCAAGUGAUAACUCUCGCAGCAAUGCGGUUUGGGGGACUUGUGCGUGAGCCCUUCCCCUGCGUUUGCUUCUUUGGAGGGCUAUGUUUUCAUAUACACUAUAAAGUUACAGAAUGUCUUUUAAAGAUUGUGCUAGUCGCAGUCAUUAAACCUAUACAACUUUCAGCAACGGAUCUCUUGGCUCUC